rnacentral:rRNA from 1 species
AACGAACGCUGGCGGCAUGCCUAACACAUGCAAGUCGAGCGCCUGUAGCAAUACAGGAGCGGCGCACGGGUGAGUAACGCGUGGGAACCUGCCCUUAGGUUCGGAACAACCGCGGGAAACUGCGGCUGAUACCGGAUGAUGUCUUCGGACCAAAGAUUUAUCGCCUUUGGAGGGGCCCGCGUCGGAUUAGGUAGUUGGUGAGGUAACGGCUCACCAAGCCUGCGAUCCGUAGUUGGUCUGAGAGGAUGACCAGCCACACUGGGACUGAGACACGGCCCAGACUCCUACGGGAGGCAGCAGUGGGGAGUAUUGGACAAUGGGGGCAACCCUGAUCCAGCAAUGCCGCGUGGGUGAUGAAGGCCUUCGGGUUGUAAAGCCCUUUCGGCGGGGACGAUGAUGACGGUACCCGCAGAAGAAGCCCCGGCUAACUUCGUGCCAGCCGCCGCGGUAACAC